rnacentral:sRNA from 1 species
CGACCGAGGGGGAUGUGGAGCUGGAGUUGGAGACUGAGACCAGUGGACCAGAGCGGCCUCCGGAGAAGCCACGGAAACAUGACAGCGGUGCGGCGGACUUGGAGCGGGUCACCGACUAUGCAGAGGAGAAGGAGAUCCAGAGUUCCAAUCUGGAGACGGGAGAAAGAACUGGCAAAAGUCACUAUCAAGAAGGAAGAUCUGGAGCUAAUAAUGACCGAGAUGGAGAUAUCUCGAGCAGCAGCAGAACGCAGUUUGCGGGAACACAUGGGCAACGUGGUAGAGGCGCUUAUUGCCCUAACCAACUGAUGCGUGCUUUCUCAAAUAUACCUACUGGAUUAAUUUAUGGCAAUAAAAUUUUUUUUUGUCUUUUUCAGUUUUAUCAUCUUGGGUCAAGUAGAGUAUAUACUAUAUCCUAUGUUGUGGGGAAU